rnacentral:lncRNA from 1 species
UCUAAUUGCAGCAUAGUCCUCCUGCCCUGCUGUGUCCAAUAUAUCAAUUUGGACUUCUUCCCCAUCCAGAACCACCUUCUUCCUGUAGCUGUCGGCUUUGGUGGGCUCAUAAUCUUCUACAAACUCAUCAUACAUAAACUGUAGUGUUAAAGCAGAUUUUCCUACACCACCACUUCCCACCAUGAUGACUUUAUGUAAAGCCAGCGAAUUCUGCCCUUUAGGCUUAUUUGCUGCCAUCUUUGGAUUACAGAAAAUUCACAGGUCUAAAAUGAAAACCUCUUCCUUUUAUCUCGCAGAAAGCCACAGCUCGCAGCAACGCCUUGCCGAGUGCAGCACCCGGCAGCACGGCGUCAGCCAGCAGCACCUCUCCCGCUCCCCGUACCCGCGCCGCU